UAUGCAACUGUUGUUCUCGGGGUUGUGAUGGGAGUGACCUGCGCCUUCUCCUUGAAAGGGAAGCCUUGGUCUGUGGCUCAAGCUGGUAUCGAGGAAGAGAAAUGGAGAUGGAGUGAUGAAGAUGACAGCGGAGAAAUCAGUGAGGAAUCCCAUGAACAUGACAGCGAGGAGACCCAUGAAAACAAGAGUCAUGAAUUCCACGGUCAUGACAACCGGAA